AUAUACAAUAUAUGCCAACUAUUAUCAAUAUUCUAGAGGGGGAGACAACAAAGACAUAGAUCAAAAUGUAAUUGGUUGUUAUGUUUAUAGUCUUUCAAAUAUUGAUGCCCAGAAACAAAAUAGGUUCUGGACAUGAGUUCUUAUGGGAAAUGAGCAUAUAAGGACCCAACUUGGGAGACAGAAAGCUCUAAGGGCAACAUUGGUAAUGUUAUAAGGCAAAGUUCAGUUAAGGAGGAAAGUGUGUGUUGGCAGAGGGCAGAGGCAUGGGACAGCAGAGUGAGGGAUUCUGGAAUUCUGCAAGGGAGAGUCAAGCUGUUGCUAAGAGACAGUUGGGCCUUGUGCUGGCUCUAUCUCUCUGGUUUACCUGGAGGGGACUGGCUGCCUUCCCUUGUUGGCUGUUGGCUGUCUGGUUUUCUCCAUCCUACCUGCUUCUCUGCAGAGCUUCCUGCUGUGGAGUUCCAGGAAAGCCAUUUAACACAUACUUUCCAGCCCUUGCCACUCUUCUUGGAGCCAAUUCUAAAUGGAAGAUGUGGAAUCUGAGACCACGAACAGUAUAAAUGCCACCUAAAGGCACUCAAGGUAACAAAUGGCAGAGCCACCUACCUUUCCAGAGAAACGAGGACAGAACAGGGAGCUCCCAGCAGAGGGUAAGGAGCAUUAGGAAGAGGAACCCAUGGGAAUGGAGCUGCAUGGUACAGUCUUGUUCAGGGAAGGAUUGAGGGGAUCCCAGCCUGGGCCACAGACAUGAGAGAUUAAAUAGUGGCAUGUAGAAAGAAAGAAGUCAGUGACCACAAAAGACCCCCCCCCACUAGCUCCUCCUGCCCUCACCUUAUAGGGAGUUUCUCAUGACUCUAGACCAUCCAUCCUAGCAUGUGCCCAUCUGUAUGGACUCUGUGUUCUCAUCCUGGGACAUAAAGAACUCAAGGACACUCUAGGACCUCCCCAAGAGUUUUCUCUGAACUGUUACUUGGUGUGUGUGUGUGUGAGAUUUGUUCCAGCCAGUGUGGGCAGAAAUCCUUUUCUUAGAUGUUGAGAAGUGCCAAAUGUUUCAUGACUGUAAUGAUCCCUUGGCUUUGCAUAGAUAUUACAAAAUAGUUUGGUCUCAUUUGAUCCUUUUUUUAAAAAGAUAAAACCUCUUCCUUCCAUCUUGGAAUCAGUACUAUGUAUUCUGACUAAGAAAGAAGAGCAGUAAGGCGUAGGACAGUGACAGUGUAAUGGGGAACUGUCCUAGAGGGAUGUUAGAUGUUACAGCCCAUCUAGAAACUCCUCAGGGCCAAUAAAGCACCAAACCCUUGGUUUAUGGAAACAAAAUUGGUUUUAAUUAGUGGAAUGAGGGAAGCUGGUAGGCAUGACCCUUACACUCUUCAAACUACCUUCACCCAACUACUAAGUCUCCUGCUUAAGGGGAGCCAUCUGUUUCUUCUCCAGGCCCUGCCUACAGCUUCCUCUCCUGCCUAAAACCCUUUGCCAAGCUAUCUGACUUAACCUAAUCGUCCCACCAGUAAUUAAUAAAGAAAGGGGAAAACCCUUGGGUUUGGCUGCUAUACUAAGUAACCCAAAGUUAUAUAUGGAAAGCUUUGGAUUACCUUAGCCCAAGAGGAAUUCUGGCAGCUGGACCACUGGCAGAUGAUCUUUGAACUCAGGGAAAUUUGGUUUUCUCCAAAUAAAGCCUCUACCCAGAUGCCAAAGAUUUCUCCACAAAAUCUUGACAAGCCAGGGAGAAUCUCUUAGAGCAAAACCCCUCCUUCAGCUAGAUGGAAAUGUAGGCAGAGAGACAGAACUCACUUCCAGCUCAGAUGAAAUCCAGGAAUGAAGAGAAAUUCAGUUAUUUUCAGUUUUAGACUCCCACAAUUCCUUUCUUACCCAGAAUUCUUUCCCAGGGUUUAUUUCAAAAUUCCUUUAUUUCACUAACCCUAGAAAAGAGACCACCCCUAACUUAUAUUCAUACAACAGCAAACCUUUUAGAGGGGCAGGCAAUAUUCUCAGGUAUGUGUGGAGAUGGGGAGGGGAGCAGCCCACCCCUCACAUCCUUCUGGUUUUCUAGUAAUGAAUUCUGGCAAACUCUGUGCUGGGACGAUGGUGGACAUGCCCAUAGAGAGUGCACUGAGUGUCCCCUUCUGGCAUGUGUGCCAUUGGUUUGCUACCAUGGGGCUAGGCAGUGGGGGUUAAGUGACUUUCCUAGAGUCAUACAGCUAGGAAGUAUCUGAGGCUGGACUUGAAGCCAAUACCCCCUUCUCCUGGCCUGGCUCUCUGAGCCACUGAGCUGCACCCCCUCCCCAAUCUUGUUUGAUCUUUAAGACAACAACCUUUCCAGCAACGAAAGAGGCACCAUCUACAUUUUGCAGAAGAAACUGAAUACCAAAUCACCAACCUCCUUGAUGACCAUUUAUUAAUUGCCUUUUCUAUGUGAGGCAUUAUGCUAGGUACUGGGGAUAACACAAGACGAAUUGCUACAAUGGAAGAGUUUACACAGUCAUGGAGUAGAUAGAAAGUAUGUACAAAUUAAUACCUGAGAAUGCUAAUAAUUGGGGACUUUGUAUAGGAGAUGGCUCCAGGGCUGAACUUGAAAGAAACUGGGGAUUCAAUGAGGCAGAAAUAAAGAAAAAUUCCAUUCUGGACACUGGAUGCCACUUAUGCAAAGACAUGGUGAUGGGAGAUGGCCUGUUGUGUAUGGAGAAUUUUUGACUUUCCAACACUCAGAAGUGCUCUAUUUUGGCAAGGUAGCUUCUGGUCACAUUGUAGGUGAUCUCAGAUGCUAGCCUCAUGAGUUUGCACCUUAUUUUAUAAGCUAGAGGAAACUACAGACUGAUUUCAAAUGGGGAGAAUGAGAUGUGAGAAUGAAAGUCAGCUCUACUAUUAGAUUGUGAGUUCCUUGAGCUCAGGGACUCUCUUUUGUUCUUUCUUUGAUUCAUCAGCACUUAGCACAGUGCUUGGCAUAUAGGAGGCACUUAGUAAAUGCUCAUUGACUGACUACCAAGAUUCCUUUGGUAGCUAUGGGACUGAUGGACUUGGCAAAGCCUGGAAAUAGGGAGGUCAUUUAGGAACCUAUUACAAUAGUCAAUACAAUAGAUAAAGUCAAAAGGGGUGCGUGAUCUAGAAACAAAGAGUGAUAUUAUGGACAAAUUAGGGGAGUACAGAAAAGUUUACUUGCCAGACCGAUGAAUAGGGGAAGAAUUUAUGACCAAACAACAACAACAACAACAACAACAACAACAACAACAACAACGAGAACUUUACAGGAUAUAAAAUUGAUUAUUUUGAGUAUACUAAAUUAAAAAGAGCUUGCACAAACAAAACCAAAGCAACCAAGAUUAGAAGAAAAACAAAAAACUCUGAAAAAAUCUUUAUACCUACUGUUUCUGACAAAGGCCUCAUUUCUCACAUAAUGGGUCAAAUCUGUAAGAAUACAAGUCAUUCCCCAACUGAUAAUCAUCGAAGGACAUGAACAGGCAGUUCUCAGAUGAAGAAACUAAAACUAUCGUAGUCCUAUGAAAAAAUGCUCCAAAUCACUAUUAGAGAAAUGCAAAUUAAAACAAUUCUGAGGUGUACCAUCUCAUGCCUAUCAGAUCGGCUAGUAUGACAAAAAAGGAGAAUGAUCAAUGUUGGAGGGGAUGUGGGAAAAUUAGGGUGCUAAUACAUUGUUGCUGGAUAUGUGAACCGAUACAACCAUUCUGGAGAGUAAUUUGGAAUCAAUCCCAAAGGACUUUAAAGCUGUGCCUACACUUUGACCCAGCAAUACCACUAUUAUAUCUAAAUCCCAAAGAGAGCGAAGAAAGGGGAAAAGGACCUAUUUGCACAAAAUAUUUACAGCAGCUCCUUUUGUGGUGGCAAAGAAUUAGAAACUGGAGGGAUGUCCAUCCAUUGGGGAAAUGGAUGAGCAAGUUGUGGUAUAUGAUUGUAAUGGAAUACAAUUGUGCCAUAAGAAAUGUCAAGCUGGAUAAUUUCAGAAAAACCUGGAAAGACUUAUAUGAACCAAUGCAAAGUAAAGUGAGCAGAACCAGGACAACAUUGUACACGGUAACAGUAAUAUUGUUUAAUGAUCAACUGUGAAGGACUAAUCUAUUAUCAAUAAUGCAAGCAUUGAAGACAACUUGAAGGGACUUAAGAAAGGCUAUUCUCCACCACAGAAGAAACUAAUGGAGUCUGAAUGCAGAUCAAAGUGUACCAUUUUUCACUUUUAUUUCCUUCAUGAAAUUUUUUAUCAUAUGUGCUUUGUAUGCCUUUUUUUUACAACACGUUGAAUAUAGAAAUAUGUAUUGUGUGACAGCAUAUGUAUAACCUAUAUCUGAUUACUUGUUGUCUGGGAGAGAGAGGAGGGAAGAGAGGGAGGGGGAGAAUUUGGAUCACAACAUGUCAGAAAACAUGUUAAAAUUUUCUCUACAUAUAAUUAGGUGGGCACAAUAAAAUAUUACUGGAGAAUUUUUUAAAAGUAUAUUACCAGAGACUUUGGGAAACAAUACUGAGUCUCAGACCUUUAUUGGUAUCUCUCAUAUGACUGAGGUAAGGCACUCUCCAUCUUCAUGAUAUCUGGCUGAAGAGACUGAGAUAUUCAUCACCAGCAUAUAUCCUUCCCUUCUUGACUUGCAUAUAAAUUGAAUUGAAGUAAGACAGAGCUGCAAUAAGUCCUCAGCCUCACUCUCUCUUCCAGUCAUCAAAGUCCAGUGGCAAUUGGUUUUCUUCAAAAAUGAAAAGUGAAUAACAUCCUUCCCUUCCCUGACCUCCUUCAAGGGACUUGGGAGAAAUCUGGAAACCUGGGAGGGAUUUAAAAUUUGUUAGUAUUUUCUCUGUUUUCUUGUUUAGAUUCCAGGUCACUGGGUACUGAUAAGGGGCUAAGGCUCAGAAAAGGUAAGGGUCCUGCCUAACAUUUGUACUGGGGAUCAAGAACUAAAGUUUGACAGGUAGCUGAGAGGGAGGGAACAGAAAAAGAGGAACUUCCCUCCCAGGCAGAGCUGUCUAAAGAAAAUGGAGUUGGAACUGACCAGAGCUGAAGGGUAAGAGAAAAUCCCCUUCAAUCUCUGUUCCUAUUUUAUUCUUUACCUGAUCUAUGAUCCCUUUAGUACAUUGAAGAUAUCUGGUUUCUCAAUUAGUUAAAAUAUAUAUUUAUUAGGUAAGGGAUUUGGUAUAAUAGGUUAGGAAAGAGAGAACUGGACAUCCCUGAACCAUUUUUCUUCUAUAGUUUCUUCAGGGGUUUGAAGCUCUAGUCUCGGGACUAAGUUCCAGACGAUCUUAGUACCUUUGUAUGUUCAAGAUGAUGUAUUUCUUGGCACAGAGAAAUAUCUUUGAAGGAAAUCUUCUGAUGGAUAGGUUAUUGCCUUACCCAAAGGGGAAAAGUGCUUGGAUAGAACCACUAUGAAGACAGAUGAUUAGUUUGGAUCUUUUCUGUUCAAUGAGGGAUUUGUAGCUAGAUAAGCUCAGUGAGAAUUGCUCCUUCAUUCCUCAGUUCAAAAGGGAAAAAAGCUGAAUCUCCAACUGCUCAGCUCCUUUUCUUAGCUGGAGAUUCCGUUCCCAUCCCCCAUUGGCAGACAGAGUUCUAUCUCCUUUUUGCAUGAGAUAACACUGCAAAUCCACUCCUUGUAUUUCCUUCAGUAUUUCUCUCUUCCACACAUUCAAGCAACAAGAAUGGAGCCUGAAUGGAGGUAUGGGAAAGAACACUGAACUUGGAGUCAGAAGACUGGUCUUUGAAUCUAGGUUCUGCCACUAAUUUGCUGUUACCUUGGGUAUGUUUCAACUUCUGUGGGCCUCAGUUUCCUCUUCUGUCAGGUAAGGAGUUUGGACUAAAUUAUCUUAAAGGUCUCUUUCAGAUCUAUAACCUAAGAUCUUUGUGCGUUUAGGGAGAAGGAAGCCUAGCUAUGACAGAAAGUGACAGAACCCAAGUUAGAAUCCAGAUCUCUAGUCUCCCAGGUUAGGGCUCUAUCUAUGGCACCCAUUUGUCAAUUGGGACCAUAUGUAAUGUUUGAAUUGAGUUCUAAGACCAUCCUAAUGAAUAUAGUGUUACCCAAGGCACCAUGAGUUUCAGAAAUGGCUGGGCUUAGGUAGGGAAACUGGGUCAUUGUGAAUUUUAAAAUCUCCAUCUUGCUUGAUCUAGCACCCAAAAUUGUGUACUCCCACACUACAUGGGCAUGUGCUAAUCAAUGACAAAUCAGAAAUAACUAACUGCCCACCUGGGCUGUCCUCAGCCAAGCUUGAGCCACCAUUGGCACUUGUGAGGCACAGGAAGUGAUGGAGAGAGCAGCCUCUGGAAUUUGCUGACUUCCUGUGGACAGGGCUAGACACCAGUUCGUGCUAGAAGCUUGAGCAAGGUGGAGGCCCGCAGACAGCUUCCCUUCAGAUCGGUCACAUGAGUCAAGGACUGUCCUUCUCUACCUUGGCCCUUUUGGGCCUGACUCCCUCUGGCUCCCUGCCAGAGGUUGAGUAAACCCUUUCCCUUUUCUCCUCUCUACUUCUCUCCCUCUCCCUUUUCUUACUCCCAUUGUGAUUAAACCACCAUCAAUUCCAUUCUGACUUGAGUGUUUCAUUUUAGGAAUUUCAUAAGUAAAUUCCUUGGCAGCCACAGUUUUAAUAUAAUAAAUUAAAAGGUGAAAUUUACACUACAAUAAUUGGCAUAGGCUUACUUAAAUCAGCUGCUCCCAUGCAAAUAAAAACUAAAUCCAUCCCACUUCCUUGCAUUCCUCAGUAUCCUCUCUCCAAGGAGGCAACAGAGGGCAUUACCCCAAUAAUAAACUCAUUAAUUGACCAACAAAUAAUUUUCCCUUGUAAAUCAGAAUACAACACGCCCAUCCUUCCCGUUAAAAAACCAUAAAGGGGGCCCGAUGGAAAACACCUCUAUAGAUUCGUACAGGAUUUGAGGGCUGUGAACAAUCACGUUAUAAAGAGACACUCCGUAGUUCCCAAUAUCAAUACUAUUAAUUCUUCUAUUCCUAGCACAGCUACAUACUUUACAGUAGUAGACUUGUGCUCAGCCUUCUUUUCCAUACCCAUACAUGAGAACUCAAGGCAUAUUUUUGCUUUCACUUGGAAUGGCACCCAAUAUUCCUGGAGUCUUUUGCCCCAGGGUUAUGUAGAAAGCCCGACUUUAUUUGCACAAAUUUUUGGGA